AGGUAACUAAUGGCAAGUUCAGCAAGUACUGAUACUAUAUCAGAGGAAGAAAGAAGAUGGCUUGUUAUUGGUCUAUGUCUUAACAAAGUUAUAGCACCUGCCUUAAGAAAAGUCUUUCGAAGUGAACUACCGAAGUGGUAUAAUAUUUUGUGUCAACCACCUCUUGAAAUUCACAAGCCAGUUCGCAGAAAGACACUACCGUCCUCAACAUUUUCACUAAAUUAUAAAAGCAUCAAUAACAAUGAAAAAAAGCCUUCUCAUACUUAUGACUUUGCGGUAAAAGAUCCGUUGUCUUUAGCAAAGUUGUUUAUGCAACCUCAUAUGGCAAAAUGUACUGGUUUCAAUGACACGAUGGAUAUGUCAGCAAUUUUGGCAGUGAUGUGUAAUGCAACGCCAUUUUCUUCUGCUGCAGCUGAUGCCAAAAUAGUAAGGGAUAUCAGAAACAAGUGGGCCCAUUGCAACUUUUCAGAAUGGAUCCAACCAGUAUUCACUGCAUCAAUAAAAGCCUUAAUAUCAUUCAUAAAAACGAGUAAUUUACCAAAACCUGACGAAAAAGCCGUGUUUGAUGAUCUCGAUUACUGGGAGAAAAAAGGUAUUAAUUGAAUUAUUUAUAAUUUAAUGUUAAAUAAUGGCAGAUGGAGGUUAGGUGGCAGAUGCUAAAUCAUGCAUGUCUAUACGAAUAGAGUUUUGGUGUUUUGUGGGUCCUGUUUCAAUCAACAUAUUUUCAAAAAAUCUGCCUGCUGCAUGUGGAUGUUGAAUUUCGUAUAUAAAGAUUAAAGAAUUAGUUAUUACCAUACAAUCUCGAACGGUCGGUACCAGUGUAGUUAGAAACAUAACAAACUGCUACGGUGUGUAGGGAACAACUCCCCGAAAAAUCUAAACAGAACUUUGGUGUUUCGAACGAAGGUUUAUAUUAUUCAGAUAGUUGUACCACCUACACACCUGCAACCACAACUUAGUGUUCUUUUUUCAGGUAUACAGUAACUCGCCACACAUCUCUUGUAGUAUUUUACUGUAAUUACCAAUGAAUUAAUUGGCUAAAAGCCAUAAUUAGUAUAAUUUAUGUAUAUUUACAUUUUGAAUUAGUAUAUAGACUCUCCUAACUGUACUGAUAAAGGCUAUUAUUCAAGCGAGUGAGAUGCCAACAAAAUCUUAAUAUUUACCCAUAACCUAUACAUGGCACUACCCUAGCAUGUAUACAUGAACUUGUGAUUAGAGCUCGACAGCUGGCCUCUGUAGCUCAGAGCGCUGCACCGCAGUGAAUGGCAGGGCGCAGGUUCGAUUCCUGCCAGAGACCUAAAUUAAAGUUUCAUUUUUCGCCGCUAUUCCUGGUUAGGUCUAAUAAAUGUAUGUAAAUUUCCACUCGAUAAUUUCCAUCUACAAUACCCUUCAACCAUUAUGCAAUCGAGUUGAGAUGCGAACAAAAUCUUGAUAUUUACCCAUAAUAUAUACAUGGCAGUACCCUAGUAUGUAUAUAUAAACUUGUGGUUAGAGCUGGACAACUGGCCUCUGUAGUUCAGUUGGUUAGAGCGCUUGGCUAGUUUACUUGAUUUGCUAACAUACAUUUUUGAUUGUUAAUUUCAGUUUCGCAGUUGUGUCUUGAAGAACCUGUUAAUUCUGAACUCC